CAUCUAUGUAUGUACUGUAUGGCUAGUGGCUGCAAGGAACAUCGUGUAAGGUCUUCAUUUUGAUAUUUUUUCAAGCGAUCCAGUCUUUGAUAUUCAACUAGAAGGAGAUUUUUAAUGUUUAAUUGAUUUUAUUGCUGAGUUGCGUACAACUACUGUUGGUUUGUUUGCUAAAUAAUUGUUACUACUGGCCGUCAUUUAUUUAUCAAUUGCGUACUUAACGUCCAGCCAACCCUGGAAUGGUUCCGCUUUAUUAUGUCAUUUACGAUAGCCUUUCUUACGGCCCUAACAUCCGAUAAUUUUUUUCUAAUGAUUUCCAGUACACUAAGCUUGGUGUCUCGACGUACGUCAUGAUACGCCAGCGACUGAAGAAAUCGUAGUGCAACCCCAUUUUCGCCCACGUCCUUCAGUUUUUAACUAAACCCUUUCAUUUACUUCAUAUAAUCAGUAAGAACGGUGUUCAUAUACCAAGAGAAGGUUGGUGCUGGUACCCUGACACCCAGUUUUUUCCGAGAUUCUAGUUUUUUCUUGGGAAAAUGUCAUACGUUACCUGUUUCGUCAUGCUGUGACAAAUUAUAUUGCAUUAUGUUGGAUAAAGCAUAGAUCAAUUGUACGGCCGAGCUGUUAAGCGACCGGAUACAUCCGAAUAUAUAUAAAACAUAGAAAACUGUACAUGUAUUGUAUUUCAGAUUACAUGUAUUAACUUACCAACUUUUCCCAAUAACGGUCCACGGGAACUGUAAACAAGAGAUAAAUCGUCGAUUAAGUUUAUUGCAAUAAUUUUUUUUGUGAAAAUUUCACGUAUUGUACAUACACACAUACAUAAAUAUAAACUAUUGUAAGGAGAGUCUUUUGGCGCAUAUUUAAAAUACUACCAUGCAAUCAGUUUCGAUUGGUUGUCGUUAUAUUUUAUUUGUUUAUUUAUCGCGGUGAUUCCUAUUAUAUUGUUACAAUUAAAAUACCCAUAUGUGCAUGUGGGUCAUUCGUUUGGAUCUUUAAUAUAUUUUUGUAAAGGAAAAUACAUUAUCUUAUAGUUGGUUACAGAAAUACAAGGACAGUGUAUAAUAUACAUACAUACAAGCAUGUUGAUUAAAAACUUUUGGGCAAACGCAUACAACGCACAAUCGACAACAUAUAGUGGCAAUAAUAAAAGAUACAAAAAUAUGUGUACAAUUUAAACAUAAUAAAUGUGUGUAAUUUCUAGUCAAAGCAUAUCCAAGAUUUUAUACAAUUUGAAAGAGGCCAACUGAAUUACCUUGACGGUUACAAGAGGGUCGGGUGGGGGUGGCUGGCUCCUUUUUUGUGAUAACAGAUCUGAGCGAGAAAUCUACACUAUGUAUAUGUAUACCUUAAGCUCAUCAAUUGUAGGGGAGCUGUCUAUUAAGUAAAUAUAGGCGGAUAGUAUGACAACUACAACUUAUGCUGUGUGAGAGGACUGCACACAUCGAAUUGUUUUAAAUUAAAUAGCGUAGAGCGCAGA